GACGAACGCUGGCGGCGUGCCUAAUACAUGCAAGUCGUACGCAUCUUUUUCACCGGAGCUUGCUCCACCGAAAAAGAUGAGUGGCGAACGGGUGAGUAACACGUGGGUAACCUGCCCAUCAGAAGGGGAUAACACUUGGAAACAGGUUCUAAUACCGUAUAAUAGUUUGACCCGCAUGGGUUGAAUUUGAAACGCGCUUUUGCGUCACUGAUGGAUGGACUCGAGGCGUAUUAGCUAGUUGGUGAGGUAAUGGCUCACCAAGGCAACGAUACGUAGCCGACCUGAGAGGGUGAUCGGCCACAUUGGGACUGAGACACGGCCCAAACUCCUACGGGAGGCAGCAGUAGGGAAUCUUCGGCAAUGGACGAAAGUCUGACCGAGCAACGCCGCGUGAGUGAAGAAGGUUUUCGGAUCGUAAAACUCUGUUGGUAAAGAAGAACAAGGGUGAGAGUAAAAAGUUCACUCCUUGACGGUAUUUACCCAGAAAGCCACGGCUAACUACGUGCCAGCAGCCGCCGUAA
rnacentral:rRNA from 1 species